rnacentral:rRNA from 1 species
UAAAGUUGUUGCAGUUAAAAAUCUCGUAGUUGAAUUUCGGGAUUAGUAGGUCGGUCGUGGCUCUGGUAUGUACUGGCUUUACUGGUUCCUCCUUCUUGAAGAACUGUAAUGUCAUUAAUUUGGUGUUGCAGGGAAACAGGACUGUUACUUUGAAAAAAUUAGAGUGUUUAAAACAGGCUAACGCAUGAAUACCUUAGCAGUGAAUAAUGAAAUUGGACGGUUGAGCCGAUUUUGUUGGUUACUAUGAUUGACGUAAUGAUUAAUAGGG